rnacentral:rRNA from 1 species
GAUGAACGCUGGCGGCGUGCUUAACACAUGCAAGUCGAACGGAAAGGCCCUGCUUUUGUUGGGUGCUCGAGUGGCGAACGGGUGAGUAACACGUGAGUAACCUGCCCUUGACUUUGGGAUAACUCUAGGAAACUGGGUCUAAUACCGGAUAGGAGCUCCUGCUGCAUGUUGGGGGUUGGAGAGUUUCGGCGGUUGGGUAUGGUCUCGCGGCUUCUCCGCUUGUUGGUGGGGUUGUGGCUUACCAAGGUUUGGACGGGUAGCCGGCCUGGGAGGGGGACGGGCAUCAUGGGGACUGAGAUAGGGCCCAGCCUCCAACGGGAGGCAGCGGCGGGGAGUAUUGCACAGUGGGCGGAAGCCGGAGGCAGCAACGCGGGGGGCGGGAUGACGGCCUUCGGGUGGAAAACCGCUUUCGCCGGUGACGAGGCGUUAGUGACGGUAAUGGGUAAAGAAGCACCGGCUAACUACGUG